rnacentral:rRNA from 1 species
UCCACGCCGUAAACGAUGUCUACUAGCCGUUGGGAGACUUGAUCUCUUAGUGGCGCAGUUAACGCGAUAAGUAGACCGCCUGGGGAGUACGGCCGCAAGGUUAAAACUCAAAUGAAUUGACGGGGGCCCGCACAAGCGGUGGAGCAUGUGGUUUAAUUCGACGCAACGCGAAGAACCUUACCAGGUCUUGACAUCCUAGAAACUUAGCAGAGAUGCUUUGGUACCUUCGGGAA